GAAAGAUGAAAAGAACUUUGAAAAGAGAGUUAAAUAGUACGUGAAAUUGUUGAAAGGGAAACGAUUGAAGCCAGUCGUACCUAUGGGUAAUCAGCCUUUUGGGUGUGAUUUUGUGGAGCGUGAGGAGUUAAACGCCUUCAUGCCUGCAUAUUCGUGCACUUUGGGUGUACUUGCCCGUAUGGUUGGUUAACAUCAAUUUUGGUGGUCAUAAAAUGACUGGAGGAAUGUAGCUUCGAUCUCGUAUUGAAGUGUUAUA
rnacentral:rRNA from 1 species